AAAGUUUUAAGUUAAUUAAACUAUUAAUCUUCAAAAUUAAAUAUAUAUAUAAAUAUAAACUUUA
rnacentral:tRNA from 1 species